rnacentral:rRNA from 1 species
UACGUAGGCAGCAAGCGUUGUUCGGAGUUACUGGGCGUAAAGAGUGCGUAGGUGGUGCCCUAAGUCUGUUGUGAAAUCUCCCGGCUUAACUGGGAGGGUGCGGUGGAAACUGGGGUGCUUGAGUGUGGGAGAGGUAAGCGGAAUUCCUGGUGUAGCGGUGAAAUGCGUAGAUAUCAGGAGGAACACCGGUGGUGUAGACGGCUUACUGGACCACGACUGACACUGAGGCACGAAAGCGUGGGUAGCAAACCGG